GAGGGUGUAGCUCAAGUGGUAGAGUGCAUGCUUAGCAUGCAGGAGGUCCUGGGUUGAAUCCCUAGUACUCCCU
rnacentral:tRNA from 1 species